rnacentral:rRNA from 1 species
AUUGAACGCUGGCGGCAGGCCUAACACAUGCAAGUCGAACGAGUGGCGGACGGGUGAGUAAUGUCUGGGAAACUGCCCGAUGGAGGGGGAUAACUACUGGAAACGGUAGCUAAUACCGCAUACCAUCGGAUGUGCCCAGAUGGGCUUAGCUUGUAGGUGAGGUAACGGCUCACCUAGGAGACGAUCCCUAGCUGGUCUGCGAGGAUGACCAGCCACAGUGGAACGGAGACACGGUCAAGACUCGUACGGGAGGCAGGCGUUGGGAAUAUUGCACAAGGGGCGCAAGUCUGAUGCAGCCAUGCCGGGUGUAUGAAGAAGGCCUUCGUGUUGUAAAGUACUUUCAGCGGGGAGGCGUUACCCGCAGAAGAAGCACCGGCUAACUCCGUGCCAGCAGCCGCGGUAAUAC